rnacentral:lncRNA from 1 species
UUUUUAGUUUUCGCACUCUAACUUUAGUAAAAGUGAAUGGAAAUCUAUGAAAUUUUAACACAAGGUUUAUGACCACAAAAGGAAGGUUGGUAUUGAUUUUGGGAGUUUUGGUCCCAACAUUUUAGGAAUUAGGGGCCAAAAAGGGCACAAAUAAGCAUUUUCUUGGUUUUCGCACUAUAACUUUAGUUUAAGUUAAUAGAAAUCUAUGAAAUUUUGACACAAGGUUUAUGACCACAAAAGAACGGUUGGGAUUGAUUUUGGGAGUUUUGGUUUCAACAGUUUAGGAAUUAGGGGCCAAAAAAGGGCCCAAAUAAGCAUUAUUCUUGGUUUUCGCACAAUAACUUUAGUUUAAGUAAAUAGAAAUCAAUGAAAUUUAAACACAAUGUUAAUGACUACAAAAGGAAGGUUGGUAUUGAUUUUGGGAGUUUAGGUCCCAACAGUUUAGGAAUUAGGGGCCAAAAAGGGACCCAAAUAAGCAUUUUUCUUGGUUUUCGCACCAUAACGUUAGUAUAAGUAAAUAGAAAUCUAUGAAAUUUAAACACAAGGUUUAUGACCAUAAAAGGAAGGUUGGUAUUGAUUUUGGGAGUUUUGGUCCCAACAGAAUAAGGGGCCCAAAGGGUCCAAAAUUAAACUUUGUUUGAUUUCAUCAAAAAUUGAAUAAUUGGGGUUCUUUGAUAUGCCGAAUCUAACUGUCAUGACUGUGUAUGUAGAUUCUUAACUUUUUGGUCCCGUUU